UCUUUUUCAUCAUUUUAGAUGUUGCAAUAGCUCAUUUGGAAUGUUUCAGUUGUUUUUCUCGACUGGUGCGUUAGUCAUUACAUAAUAUUUCAUCUGUUUUUUUAAUCUAUAUAUGUUGCGCAUCAUAUUUCAUCUUGUUGCAACUAGAUAAUCGGUGAAUUUCAUGGUUUUAUCUUAGAAAUUGUUUGGUGUUGCAAUCUAGCUAGAUUUGAGAAGGAUAUGCG
rnacentral:lncRNA from 1 species